rnacentral:rRNA from 1 species
UACAGAGGUCCCAAGCGUUGUUCGGAUUCACUGGGCGUAAAGGGUGCGUAGGCGGUCGGGUAAGUCUGAUGUGAAAUCUCCAAGCCUAACUUGGAAACUGCAUUGGAUACUAUCCGGCUCGAGGAAUGGAGGGGAGACUGGAAUACUUGGUGUAGCAGUGAAAUGCGUAGAUAUCAAGUGGAACACCAGUGGCGAAGGCGGCUACCUGGACAAUUGCUGACGCUCAGGCACGAAAGCGUGGGGAGCAAAAGGG